rnacentral:rRNA from 1 species
GGGAAAGAUUCAUCGGUAUGGGAUGGGGUCGCGUCCUAUCAGCUUGAUGGCGGGGUAACGGCCCACCAUGGCUUCGACGGGUAGCCGGCCUGAGAGGGCGACCGGCCACAUUGGGACUGAGAUACGGCCCAGACUCCUACGGGAGGCAGCAGUGGGGAAUAUUGCACAAUGGGCGCAAGCCUGAUGCAGCGACGCCGCGUGCGGGAUGACGGCCUUCGGGUUGUAAACCGCUUUUGACUGGGAGCAAGCCCUUCGGGGUGAGUGUACCUUUCGAAUAAGCACCGGCUAACUACGUGCCAGCAGCCGCGGUAAUACGUAGGGUGCAAGCGUUAUCCGGAAUUAUUGGGCGUAAAGGGCUCGUAGGCGGUUCGUCGCGUCCGGUGUGAAAGUCCAUCGCUUAACGGUGGAUCCGCGCCGGGUACGGGCGGG